rnacentral:tRNA from 1 species
GAUUAGGAAGCGAAAUCGCAUUUAGUUUCGGCCUAAAGCCUGGUGUUAAUCCACCCCUAAUCU